rnacentral:rRNA from 1 species
CUACGGGUGGCAGCAGUUAGGGAACUUUUCCAAUGCGCGCAAGCGUGAGAAAGCAAGUCAGAGUGUUUUUCAUGAAUUUUUGAAAAACUUUUGUCUGUUGUAAAAAAACAGAAGAAUAAGGACUGGGCAAGACCGGUGCCAGCCGCCGCGGUAAUCCCGGCGGUCCAAGUCGCAGCCACAAUUAUUGGGUCUAAAACAUUCGUAGCUUGUUUUAUAAGUUCCUUGUGAAAUCUUAGCUCUUAAGGUUAAGGCGUGCAAGGAAUACUAUAAAACUUGAGACCGGAAGAAGCAAAGAGUAUGCUUGAGGUAGCAGUAAAAUGUUUUAAUCUUAGGCAGACUAACAACAGCGAAGGCACUUUGCUAGUACGGAUCUGACAGUGAGGGAUGAAGGCUAGGGUCGCGAAAAGGAUUAGAUACCCCAGUAGUC